AUUGAACGCUGGCGGCAGGCCUAACACAUGCAAGUCGAACGGAUGAGUGGAGCUUGCUCCAUGAUUCAGCGGCGGACGGGUGAGUAAUGCCUAGGAAUCUGCCUGGUAGUGGGGGACAACGUUUCGAAAGGAACGCUAAUACCGCAUACGUCCUACGGGAGAAAGUGGGGGAUCUUCGGACCUCACGCUAUCAGAUGAGCCUAGGUCGGAUUAGCUAGUUGGUGAGGUAAAGGCUCACCAAGGCGACGAUCCGUAACUGGUAUGAGAGGAUGAUCAGUCACACUGGAACUGAGACACGGUCCAGACUCCUACGGGAGGCAGCAGUGGGGAAUAUUGAUCAAUGGGCGAAAGCCUGAUCCAGCCAUGCCGCGUGUGUGAAGAAGGUCUUCGGAUUGUAAAGCACUUUAAGUUGGGAGGAAGGGCAGUAAGUUAAUACCUUGCUGUUUUGACGUUACCAACAGAAUAAGCACCGGCUAACUUCGUGCCAGCCGCCGCCGUAACAC
rnacentral:rRNA from 1 species